UACGUAGGGGGCUAGCGUUGUCCGGAUUUAUUGGGCGUAAAGAGCGUGUAGGCGGCCAGGUAGGUCUGCUGUGAAAACUCGAGGCUCAACCUCGAGACGUCGGCGGAAACCAUCUGGCUAGAGUCCGGAAGAGGAGAGUGGAAUUCCUGGUGUAGCGGCGAAAUGCGUAGAUAUACGGAGGAAUACCUGAGGCGAAGGCGGGUUGCUGGGCCAACACUGACGCUGAGGCGCGAAAGCCAGGGGAGCAAACGGG
rnacentral:rRNA from 1 species